rnacentral:rRNA from 1 species
AUGAACGCUGGCGGCGUGCCUAAUACAUGCAAGUCGAGCGAACAGACGAGGAGCUUGCUCCUCUGACGUUAGCGGCGGACGGGUGAGUAACACGUGGAUAACCUACCUAUAAGACUGGGAUAACUUCGGGAAACCGGAGCUAAUACCGGAUAGUAUAUUGAACCGCAUGGUUCAAUAGUGAAAGACGGUUUUGCUGUCACUUAUAGAUGGAUCCGCGCCGCAUUAGCUAGUUGGUAAGGUAACGGCUUACCAAGGCAACGAUGCGUAGCCGACCUGAGAGGGUGAUCGGCCACACUGGAACUGAGACACGGUCCAGACUCCUACGGGAGGCAGCAGUAGGGAAUCUUCCGCAAUGGGCGAAAGCCUGACGGAGCAACGCCGCGUGAGUGAUGAAGGUCUUCGGAUCGUAAAACUCUGUUAUUAGGGAAGAACAAAUGUGUAAGUAACUAUGCACGUCUUGACGGUACCUAAUCAGAAAGCCACGGCUAACUACGUG